UUUAAAUCUAAACACGAAUUCCAGGCUUUUUGAAAGUCAGCUGUGGGCGUUUGUAAGUAGUCUCGUUAGUAGAUACCUUGAUUUUCACAUUUUGCAGACAAAAAAACUCGCUUACUUUUUACGAUUUUUCUGCAGAAAUGCGCGAUAAACGUACUGUAUAUUGCGUCAAAAGUACGUGAUUGAUCUACCCUGGUUUGUUUAUGGCCAAUAUUUGGAAUUAUAUCUGGU